rnacentral:rRNA from 1 species
GUCGGAAUUGCUAGUAAUCGCAGAUCAGCAUGCUGCGGUGAAUACGUUCCCGGGCCUUGUACACACCGCCCGUCACACCAUGGGAGUCGGUAACACCCGAAGUCAGGAGCCUGACCUUUUUAGGAGGGCACUGCCGAAGGUGGGAUUGAUGACUGGGGUGAAGUCGUAACAAGGUACC